GGAGUUGUCUGGUGGAUACUAUAGUUUCAAGGAAAGAGUUACAAGUUGCAUGGGCUGGUAUUGCCUAUGUGAUGUUGGUUCUUAUAGUAGAACGACUCAUCAUUGAGGAUGACUCGGCCACUAUGGUCAGAUGGAUUCAGAUGCGGGAUAUAGAAGAUGUUGCUCAUCUACUUCUGAGGAACAUCGCGAUGCUAUUAAGGGGGACCAC
rnacentral:lncRNA from 1 species